rnacentral:lncRNA from 1 species
AAAGUAGCGUACGUUACUUUAGUUAAGCUAAAUAUAUAUAUUUUUUUUUGAAAAUUUAUGACCGUGUAAAGUUUUUUCUCUCCCCAUAAUAAAGGCAUAAUAAAUUAAACAUCUUCAUAACUUUCAAAAACUAAUUAUUUGAUGAAUUUAAAGCCUCAAUAAAUUUAACUUAAGUUUAAGAUAGUGUAAUGAAAUAAUUAUCAAGUAAUUUCCCUCGCAUUUGGUGGAGGUGGUAAAGAUAAAUUUUUCAGAUUACUUUUUUCCCCAGUCUCUAAUUACCAUUGUUUUUGAUACAAAACAUUCUCAAUCUAUACAAGCAUAAACAUACUAAAGUUUGGAGUUUGCAGAAAGUUUUAUAAUGUCAUACUUAAGACUUAAAAAAAUGAUGUUAGCGUCUAUUUAGCAGCGUGCCGGGAAAUCAUUUUGAUUUAGAAUGCUCAAAAUUAAAUUUUCACAUAGAUAAUCAAUUCUCCACCCCCAAAGGUUUUGAUGUGUUCAUCAAAAGAUUUCUUAAAAUUUUGCUAACUUUGUUCUGCCCCUUUGAGCAUAGAAAAGUUUAAAUUAAAGAAACAGAUAUGCUUGUAAUUACAACAGAGUACAUUAAAAACAUUUUAGUGCAGUAAUAGCAGUUUUUUACAUUAUUUAAAAACAAGUUUAUCAUCAAAUUUUUAGCUGAAGACUUUAAAAAAAAGUAUAAAGUAAUAUCCAGUAAAUCCGGCCGGAUAUAUGAUAUAUCCGGCCAGAUAACGGAUAAUAAAAUAUCCGGUAUAUCCGGUACACCUCUAAUAAUUAUGCACGCAAAUGACAGAAGCGCCCUUACCAUAUUUGCGUUUUUAGCUUUCUAAUUUGUUAGUGCACACACGUGGUAACAAUUGGUGCUUUACAAAAAUGGUGGCAAACUACAGUGCAUGUACAUUAAUGUCGUGUUUAUCUGGUGUUUUGUUAAUAUUUUGCUAUCUUAGGGACUUUGAAACUAUUCAAAUACAUAUUUAAGAAAAAAAUAAUAUUAUUACAAAUUAGUUUAAGUGUUUUAUUGUUCAUUUACGUAAAAUAUUUGUGUAAAACAAUGAAUUCUAGAGGACGCAUGUUGAUGAAUCUCGCUCUCUCAAAGGAUAAUAUGACAGAAAUUAGGACAUAAAUAAUAUGCAACAACAGUCUAUCAAUGAGAUGUCAUUAAAUGAUUCUUUAACCCAAAUAUGUAAUACACAAACAUUGAAUCCAUCUACAAAUUCGACUAGUGACAUACAAGUUCAAUCUUACAAAAUGUCAUCUAAGAAUAGACUUGGCGAGGGUUUCAUUUAGUCAUCAUUAGAGUAAGCUUAUGUAUGAAUAUUCCAAUAUACAAUAUCGUAUUUCUUGCAAAACUUUCAUCACACGCAUGUGAUGCACCAAUUCAUAUGCAAAUCUUAAAAUUAUCAAUAAGGAGGAACAACAUAACCAAACACCUCUGAAUACAGUUGGAAAGAGACAAAGAAAUAAAAAUGCUGAUCCUAGUUCCUGGAAAAGAAAUAUUAUCAAAAAUAAGCGUAUUAGAGGAGAGAAAUAUAUAAACAGAAGUGGUGACCCAUACAGAUAGAUUGCAGCAAGUGCAGAUUUAACUGUAGUCAUAACGUCAAUUAUGAAAUGAUUCAUAAAAAUAUGAAUCAUAAAGAAUAUCAAUAGUUAGGAGAUUCGAUGAGCCCAUAACAGUAUUUAUCAACGUUAAUAGUGACUAUUCAAGUUGCACCUCGUAGUUCAGAUGCAAAAAAUUCAAAGACGACAUUAAAACAAUAUCACCUCUGCCUUGAUGGUGAAGAACUAAAAAGGGUCUGCAUGAAGUUUUUCUGCAGUAUCUUUUCAAUCAGUCACCAAGUGGUAGAUGGUAUAGGUAAAAAUAAUAUAUCGAAAAUAGGGCACUUUACUAAAAAAGAUGGAAGAAUUGGUGGUAAGCCUCAUAACAAAACUGAUAAAGAUAUGAUAUGUUUAGUCAAGAAACACAUUGAUUCCUUCCCAAGAAUGGAAUCCCAUUAUUGCAGGCGGGACUCCAAUAAACUAUAUUUAUAAUCAGAUUUGAAUAUUAGUAAAAUGCAUAGGUUAUAUAUGGAGCAGAGCGACUCAACUCCUGUUUUCUUUUUUGUUUACAACAAAAUAUUUCACUCAUAUAAUCCAGAACUGUCAUUCUAUGUGCCAAAAAAGGAUCAGUGUGUCAAGUGCAAUAUUUACAAUUUAGCGAUAGAUAAAACUUGUUUGGAGAGUGAUUGGAAAGAACAAAAGAUUGGGGAGGGAGCAAAAUUCAAUGGAAAUGAAAUCAAUAGGUAAAUUAAGGACAACAACAGAUGCCUCAUUUAGAGCAAUAACAUUUGAUUUGUGGAAAUUUAUUACAAAAGAAAGCUUAAUGCGUACAAUUUUACAAUUAUUAAGUGCCCAAUAAAGAAUGGAUUGUGUUAUUUAUGGGAUGAGUGCAACAGCCAAAGAGGUAGCAAUCAAAUUGGGACGUGCAUCAUAAAAUAUUUGUCUUCAUUGCUAUAUUCGAUAAAUCAUGUGGCUUCCUUCUCUGAUACAUGCGGUAGCCAAAACAGAAAUAAGAAUGUAUCAGCUGCCAUGCUUUAUUGCAUUAAUAAAAUAAAGCACAUCAACAUUAUUGAUAGGAAGUAUAUGGAGUCUGGGCACUCUUAUUUGGAGGCUGACGCAAUGCAUGCAACAAUAGAGAGAUUUAGGAAACAUAAAAAAAUAUACAAAACGCGAAAGUGGGCACUAUAUUAUUUCAGCCAGUAGAAUUAAUCCUAAACCUUAUGACGUACAAGUACUGCAUCAUAAUGAUUUUUAUAAUUUGAAAGCACUAACAAAACAAAUUUUGCACAACACAACCAAAAAUGUAUUUAGAGAGAUUGUGAAAUGGUUAAUAAUAAAAUGGCUGCGGUUCACAAAAGAAAAGCCUAACCACAUUUUAUACAAGUAUAACCUAAUGGAUGAAAAAUUCUUGGAAAUUGACAGAAAUAAAAAAAUGAAAUGCGCAGAUUAAGGAUUGGGAAACAAUUUCCAUCAGAGAAGCAUACAGUAAUCCAUUACCAAUUACUGAAAAGAAAUUGAAAGACCUGAACUCAUUAUUGGACAGUGGUGUGAUACCAAGAGAUUACAAUGUUAUAGGUUGACAUAUUUAAUCAAUCUAAAGUUAGUACAAAGUGCUCCUAAUCUGGCCCAAACAAUCCACAUUAAAAGCUAAGACUGUCGAUGGGUGUCUGGACACCACCAUGUUACUAACUAUCUAGGUAGCAUUUUUAAAU